UGCGUCGUUCUUCAACAGCAGAAUACCAGCGUCGCUUAUCAACAGCAGCAAUAAGAUUGAAGACGUGCGCGUGCGACUCGUGAGUGUGGCUACCCACACUUUCAAGCUGACUCGGUUUCAGCCCAUUCAGACAGUCAGCUUCAAAACUGACUCAGUAAUCGAGCUAAGCGAGUAUUUUCCUCUGCACCAAUUACUAAGCGAUAUAGUUUAAUAUCUCUUAAGACAGCUGACGGGAUCAACAUUUUGAUUCAAGGCCCUAUCUCGUUCUCAGGAAAAUGGGUUUUCUCCAGAGGUUUGCAGUCGUUUCAUUGUGGGGUUUCCAUUUGGCUGGGAGGAUGUUGCUGAUCAAUGCUUGGACCAACAUCUGCUGGUGAUGGUGCUCCAGCUAGUAUGUCUUUCUUUCCCGAGUCAAAAGAAGUGCCGACUUCUCUUUCCAACAAGAAGACGUUCACUAACAUGAAAAGUGAAGAACCGGAAGAUCUUAGUUGCAGUUAUGAUACUGGUAUGGAUGAAGUUGUAAAAGAUGCUCCAGUAUCUACAAAUUCUGAUGUGAAAAAUGCUGAUCCAAAUGAGGCCAAUGUUGCUGUUCCAGUGGGCAUCCUGAGAGUACAAAGUUGGCUAAAGCCAAAGGUGGAGUUAAAAAAGGUAAAGUAGGUCGGAAGAAGAAGGGAACAAAUUCAUGUUCUAUUUCUGGGUCUGCUGGCUGUGGAGUUGUACAAGUCCAUCUCAAAGAGGAUAUAGGUCAUGUUUCUGAAGGAAAACUGGAAAGAUCUGUGUCAGAAACGCCCAUUGCAGCCAGUCAUAGUGUGCAAGAAAGAUCUGGAAGUUGCAAUUCUAGCACAACCAGGACCACGGCUAUCUCACUCUCCUUCGCUGCAGUUUCCUGCCAUUCCAGUCCUUGAAUUUCUCCUUCUUGCUGCGACACCGAAACACACAAUCAGCUCCAGCCCCCAUAUCUCAGCACACAGCACUGCUGCAUUCCAUUGUUCUCUGUUAAGCUUCAUUCCAUCACCGCGAACAUCGAACUCAUUUCAGUCCCUUGUUUCGCACCACCACCACCAUCACCAGUACCAUUUAGUUCAAGCAACAACAUCUCAAUUCUUUCCCUGCUGUAACUAUAACCACCUGCAAGUCAGGUUCAAUACCAGACUCGUCUCUGCUUUAAUCAGUUAGCAUCCAUUCCCUUCCGGCAACACUCAUACCCAUUUCAUACAAUUGUAGCUCAAUUCCAUUCUAGACCUUGUUCACCAUUGCCAUGAUCAGCUGCACAUUCACCAUCUCAUUCUCUAUAGUUGAUUCUGCCUUACCUGACUGUCACCACCAAUACCCACAGCCAUCUCUGGCAGCAAUAUCAAACUGCAGCACCAUCUACACUGACUCUCACAAUACUUCUGCUCUUGACUGCAAUCCCAGUUCAACAUCAAGCUUAAUACCGCCACCAACUGAUCAAACAUUCAACACACAUUCCAUUUCCAGCUCAUCCUACCAGUUCAGACUUGCAAUCUCCCAUGGACUCACUGCAACUUCACUUCCAUACCCGCUUCAGUUCGUCGCCAUACUGCAUCUCCAUUAUCUCAGGUCAUCACCAAACUCAUCAAUCGAACCCAUUUGUUAUCUCAGUACAUUCCCUCUUCAGACACAACCACAGACUCAAGCUUUCAAUAGUUGUGCUGUGAACAGAACAACCUACUUCCCUGCAAUGCACAAACUCAACACAUCUGCAAUCUCCAUAACCAGCUGCUGCAAAAAUACCAACUUCUCUUCCCUGCAACCUCAGACAACUCCCAUCUCAGUCCAUUCCUUUCUUAGCCAACUACAAACGCACAACUGCAAGGCACAGAUUCAGCUCGUUACAAUCCACCAACUUCAGACCAAUACCACAGGUUUAGCUCCAUAAUUUCUGCAGCAUUCCUUCCCUCGACAUCAGCAUUUCAAAUUCUUCUUAACGGCACCAACACUGCCUGAAUUCAACCAACAGUACCUUCAGCUUCUUAUUUUCUUUGUUACUUCUUGUAUCUUCUUUUCCCUGCAAAUGAAAUUAGAGCACUGGGAAAACCCAUCUAUGUUUUAUGCACCCAUUCCAACCUAGUAAUGAAAUAGAAGUAGAGAAAAUGACGGCAACUGCUUGUGAAGAUGAUCAUAAAAAUCCGGCACUGAAAUUGAGCUCAGCUCCCUUUUAUUGUUUCUUAAAAGAGAAUGAGUUAGGAGUGAACUCUCUCAAACUCCCCCAAACUCCCUCUAAUAAACUCUCUCAAACUCCCUACACUCCCCCAAACUCCCUGAACUCAAAAACACCAAACUCUCUCAAACUCCCUACACUCUCUCAAACUCUCUUAAAAUUACUGAGAUUUAAAAUACACUCAACUCCCCCAAAAUCACUUGAGGAUUAACCCCCUCUAAGUGUUUCGCUUGAUUUCACCCUUAGGUUUGAUUUUCGAUUCUGGGUUUGAUUGAAUCUGAUCUUGUGUGAAACCCCUUUUCUCAGUACUAGGGUUUUUGAUUUGAGAGAUCGUGAAGAGGAAUAACGCUUUCCUCAUCAAAGAGUUUGGAAAUGAAAAUCAGAUGCUUCAAACACCCUGGGUUAGCAAAUACAAAGACAGUUUUAGUUCAAGAUGGAAAAGAUUCGGGUCACUAUUAGGUUUUGUUGCAUCUCAUUGUUCACAGGCAUAUGGGUGAGAGAUGAUGAUGUUGUGGUCAAAGUUUGAGGUGACGACUCUCACGAGAGAUGCUGUUUUCAGUGUAUUGAACUUGAAUCUAGCUCUAUGGUGUUGUAAAGUGCACAAAUUUGGUUAUGUUUUUAAAAGGUAUCAGGUCCGGUCGUGGUUGCGGAUGGAAGGGCAGGGGUUGCUACGAACCCGUUUUACGAACCCACAAGCCUUUUCUCGUGGAGUUAGAACCUGGAAUUUUGGGAAAUAGUUUUGACAAAUUGGAAGCAUCAUACAGCUUAGCGAUAUUCUCCUCCGAAUUUAUAUCAUGUUUCUUUCUGAUCUGAGUUAUGUUUCAUCAUACUUUUCCAGUGAGAUAUAAAUUAUCCUAGUUUGCAGUUUGUUAUCUCUAGUUUCUGACCUAACUUGUUGAUAUUUGCUAGAAAAUAGCACCAGUCUGCAGUUUGUCAUGUUUAUAUGGUUAGAAAGUGGAUGGUGAUCACAAACAUAUCCA